AACGAACGCUGGCGGCAUGCCUAACACGUGCAAGUCGAACGAGACCUUCGGGUCUAGUGGCGCACGGGUGCGUAACGCGUGGGAACCUGCCCUUAGGUUCGGAAUAACUCCCCGAAAGGGGUGCUAAUACCGGAUAAUGUCUUCGGACCAAAGAUUUAUCGCCUUUGGAUGGGCCCGCGUUGGAUUAGCUAGUUGGUAGGGUAAAAGCCUACCAAGGCGACGAUCCAUAGCUGGUCUGAGAGGAUGAUCAGCCACACUGGGACUGAGACACGGCCCAGACUCCUACGGGAGGCAGCAGUGGGGAAUAUUGGACAAUGGGCGAAAGCCUGAUCCAGCAAUGCCGCGUGAGUGAUGAAGGCCUUAGGGUUGUAAAGCUCUUUUACCCGGGAUGAUAAUGACAGUACCGGGAGAAUAAGCUCCGGCUAACUUCGUG
rnacentral:rRNA from 1 species